ensembl:lncRNA
GUCUGUCAGCUGCGAGGGCCGGACUUGUCCUUCUUCCUUGAAGCUCUUGGAGAAUCAACCUGAGAACAGCGAGAAAAUCAGUCUGUCAUUAGCCACCACUUGUGGUUAGAUUGUGGCAGGCUUGGUAAACCAGUUUCCUCUCUGUGUUUUGUGUUACUUUUGAUUCUCUCUCCUCUCUCUCUCUGCUAGCCUUGCGCUCACUGUGCUGGCCUCAAGCUUGUGGUGAUCCUCCUGCCUCAGCCUCCCAAGUGCCCCACCUCUUUUCACUGCUUGCAAAGCCAGAAAUAGCAGGGGCUGGGGAGCCAGCUUGGACUGUGCCUGACGCCAGGGAGGGUUGCCAUGGCUUGGGACACCUUCAGGCCUUCGGGGGAGCUCCUGGGGCCAGGCUGAGUCCUCAGCCAGUCGCAGAUGCUGUGUGUCUUUGCCAAGGUCCCGACCCUCCGAUCCUCCUGGGCUUCGGUUUCUUCAGCUGUAAAACAAGGCAGCUGCUUGGAAUCUGCACGCAGUUCUGUUUAUAACAGCGUUUUUAGGUUGCAGGAAUAAAAAUAUUCUGCUUCUGCCCACUCUCCCCAGACUUGGCUGGCGAAGAUGAUCUCAGUCAUCGAUCAACCCAGCCACACAUGGCCCCGUCUCGCCUGAGAGAAGGCAAUGGGAGCCACUGACCCCGGAGCUGCUGUGUGCGGCAGCCCCAAAGGACUGGAAGUCAGCUCCCGGGUUCUGUGCCCGGCACCUGGCCUUCCGCGGGCCAUAAAACAGCAGUUUCCGGCCUGCUGGUUGGAACAGUGACUGUUACAACAUCCACAGCAGAGUAGCACAGGAGGUGACACCAUGAAGAAACCUUCCCGGGUCACGUUGGGACAGACCGUGUGAGGUGCAGUCCUGGCCUCAUGAUGUGUCCAUGCGAUGGGGAAUUAAAAGAGCCAUGACAAGUCAUCAGUGUUUAACGGAAAGGUGUUGAAUGACGUCUAAAUUCCAGAAACUCAGUGUGCAGCCCAGGCUGGCCUUGAACUUGCAGCAAUCCUCCUGCCUCAGCCUCCCAAGUGCUGGGAUUACAGGAGUUGAACCUUCGCACUAAGCUACAUCCCCAGCCUUGCUUCAAUUGUGAAUUUCGAGCCAGAGGUCUUUGUAAGCCAUUCAAGCUGAGCUCACUCUUGCAAUCUUCCUGCCUCAGCCUCCAGACGUGUGCCUCCAUGCCCAGUGGGCUGCCGUGACCUUAGUACCCUUUAGGAGGGCCUGGCAUGUCCACGGGUCUGUGGCCAGAGAAAGAUGGGGAGAACAGCAGCGUCCUCGCGCGUCUGGGCCAGAACCUUUUGCGCCGGGCCGGGUGGCUUCAGGAACUGAGCCUUGCAGACAGGAAACCGUUCCCUCACCCUAAGUCCACACUACUGUCCCGCCUCUGCUGGUGACAUCAGCGGAAGCCACCUCAGCAGCUCACCGUGGUCCGGGCCUGGCCUGGAGACAGGUGUCCACUAUCGAGCAAUGUGCGGUGUCCCAUCCGCCACUUGGACUUGAAGAGGCCGGGUUGAAACUCCGUGUGCCCAGCACCCUCGGGCUGGCCGGGCUGGCAGAGGGCUCGCCCGGCUCGCUGCUCUCUCCUCUUCCUUCCAGGAGGAGCCGCUGGGUUUGCACCCGGGAAGGGCUUCACACACGUCUUGGCCACCGAGGCUCCAGGUGUGGGGUCUGCAGCCAAGAGCUCCUCCAGCCUCGGGUUUGCACACCAGCGUGGGACACCACGGCCACCACUACCCAAUCACCCGAAUGCCAUCCCCACUGCCAUCAUGGCCACAGCCCAGGGUCUCCUGUGAGCCCUGUAGGACAGACAGAUCUGAGCCUUGGCCAGGUCUUGGGGAUCCGCUCUCCAGGACCCUAGAGGCGUGCCGUGAGAGGCCUGGGGGAAGCGCACAGAAGACAGGGCGGAGCCCCGGGUCCACUUGUGCAAAGCCACACACAGACGGAAACCAAGUCUCUUCCCCAUUGGACUGGAGGCUCUGUAGAGAAAUGAAAUAAAAAGUGGGAGAAGCAACACUUCACAUCCUGGACACUGAGCUGCUCCGGGGAAGGUGUUGCUUACCACACAGGUGAUGGCAAGGUGGCCAGAGCGUCACAGACCCCCGAGUGUGUCCCUGUGGCAACUCAAGCCCUGCGAGGGUCACAGCUGCACAUUCCCACCCCCAGGCCUGCUCUGAGCUUCCCCUCCAUUGCCUGCGGCUGUGGGGCCCGACUUUGUGGGCCUGGGUCGCGGCCUGGCAGCCUCCGCCCAUUGCACAGACCCCGGUUGCCGCUCCUGGCUUCUCCAGGCCCCAGGUGCCAGAGCCCUCUUGGGUCCCCCGAGCCCUGGGAUAGGUCUAUGGGAUCCCUUGUCACUCUCAGAAGCCCCUCUGUGCAGAGCGUCAUGUCUGUGCGGGAAUGCGCCGCGUGACAGCCAUCUCUCCUAUCACUUCUGAGAACCACGCAGCCAGAGGCCCUAGCUGAGCCUCAGUUUUUUCAUCUAUUCUGUGGGAAAAUAAUGCCCCAGGCUUUUUUGUUGCUGAUAGACAGGGUCUGGCUAUGUAGCCUAGGAUGGGCUCAAACUUGCAGCAAUCCUCCUGCCUCAGCCUCCCAGAGUGCUAGCAUUACUGGUGUGCACCACUG